rnacentral:tRNA from 1 species
GGCCCAUUAGCUCAGUUGGCUAGAGCGUCGUGCUAAUAACGCGAAGGUCGCGGGUUCAAUCCCCUCAUGGGCCA